rnacentral:rRNA from 1 species
CGUGUCGUGAGAUGUUGGGUUAAGUCCCGCAACGAGCGCAACCCUUGUCUUUAGUUGCCAUCAUUAAGUUGGGCACUCUAGAGAGACUGCCAGGGAUAACCUGGAGGAAGGUGGGGAUGACGUCAAAUCAUCAUGCCCCUUAUGCUUAGGGCUACACACGUGCUACAAUGGGUAGUACAGAGGGUUGCCAAGCCGUAAGGUGGAGCUAAUCCCUUAAAGCUACUCUCAGUUCGGAUUGUAGGCUGAAACUCGCCUACAUGAAGCUGGAGUUACUAGUAAUCGCAGAUCAGAAUGCUGCGGUGAAUGCGUUCCCGGGUCUUGUACACACCGCCCGUCACACCACGGGAGUUGGAGACGCCCGAAGCCGACUAUCUAACCUUUUGGAAGAAGUCGUCGAAGGUGGAAUCAAUAACUGGGGUGAAGUCGUAACAAGGUAGCCGUAUCGGAAGGUGCGGCUGGAUCACCUCCUUUCUAAGGA